rnacentral:rRNA from 1 species
GACGAACGCUGGCGGCGUGCUUAACACAUGCAAGUCGAACGGAAAGGCCCCUUUGGGGGUACUCGAGUGGCGAACGGGUGAGUAACACGUGAGUAACCUGCCCUUGACUUCGGGAUAACUUCAGGAAACUGGGGCUAAUACCGGAUAGGAAUCCUUGCUGCAUGGUGGGGGUUGGAAAGCUUCGGCGGUUUUGGAUGGACUCGCGGCUUAUCAGCUUGUUGGUGGGGUAGUGGCUUACCAAGGCUUUGACGGGUAGCCGGCCUGAGAGGGCGACCGGCCACAUUGGGACUGAGAUACGGCCCAGACUCCUACGGGAGGCAGCAGUGGGGAAUAUUACACAAUGGGCGGAAGCCUGAUGCAGCAACGCCGCGUGCGGGAUGACGGCCUUCGGGUUGUAAACCGCUUUCAGCAGGGGCGAAGCUUGUGGUGACGGUACCUGCAGAAGAAGCACCGGCUAACUACGUG